UAUGCAAUGAGUUUAAGCUCAAAACAUCCUGCAAAUAUACAUACACAAAAUGAAAGAAAGAAAUAAAAAAGAAAAAAGAAAAAAUGGAAAAAUAGGUCACAUAUUUGUAUGUUUCUUGUUUUUCCAUUUUUUUUUUUUUUUUUUUUUUUCCUUUUUCUUUCUCCUAAUUUGUGUAAUUUUUAUAAAAACAGGAAGGAAGGUCUGAGAUGCUGCAUUUAAAGAAUAGAAAAGAAAAGUCAAUGAAUUUUAAUUUUUUUUUUUAUAAUUCUUAUGAAUUAAAAAGAAAGAAAAAAAAAGUUAUAACAUUCGUUGUUACUUUUUAUUUCACAUAUAUAUAUAUAUAUAUUCUUUAAUAAAAUUUUUGAGAGAAAAAGUAUUGAACAAAUAUUAAUUAGUUACCAGAAAUAUCAAUCAUAUAUUUAAAAUUUCGUAAGAAGUUUUGUGUAUGGUUUUGAAAAAGCUAAUAAGCAAGUAUACAUUGGUGAGUUCGAUUUUUGAGGUUUUUCUUUAUUCCUACAUCUCAUAUAUCAAUAUUUUUUUUAUAAUUAUAUAUUAUACGAGGUGAUAAUAAGAAAAAUAACUUAAUUCAGACUACUCCUAACUUCAUUGCUGCAA
rnacentral:RNase_P_RNA from 1 species